AAAGCCGGGCUACGGUGCCAAAGUGCGCGCUAACCCAGAUCCCACAAAGGGUGUUGAUUGAUUAAGACAGCAGGACGGUGGUCAUGGAAGUCGAAAUCCGCUAAGGAGUGUGUAACAACUCACCUGCCGAAUCAACUAGCCCCGAAAAUGGAUGGCGCUUAAGCGCGCGGCCUAUGCCCGGCCAUCGCGGCGAUUGCGAGGCCCCGAUG
rnacentral:ncRNA from 1 species